AGGAUAAACGCUGGCGGCGUGCCUAACACAUGCAAGUCGAACGCGCUUUCGGGCUUCGGUGCGAGAGCGAGUGGCGGACGGGUGAGUAACACAUGGGUACCUACCUUGGAGUGAGGGAUACCGGCGAGAAAUCGCCGACAAUACCGCAUAGGCUUCUUCACAAGGGAAGCAAAGUGACGCGAGUCACGCUUUGAGAUGGGCCUGUGGCCGAUUAGCUAGUUGGGGGGGUAACGGCUUCCCAAGGCGACGAUCGGUAGCUGGUCUGAGAGGACGAUCAGCCACACUGGGAUUGAGAACGGCCCAGACUCCUACGGGGGGCAGCAGUGAGGAAUUUUCCGCAAUGGAGGCAACUCUGACGGAGCAACGCCGCGUGCGAGGAGGAAGGUUUUCGGAUCGUAAACUGCUUUUCUCGGGGACGAGCAAGGACGGUACCCGAGGAAGAAGCCCCGGCUAACUACGUGCCAGCAGCCGC
rnacentral:rRNA from 1 species